AUCUAGCUGACGAGUCUCAACUAGAACGAAACGCGCGUUCUGGAU
rfam:Schistosoma haematobium scaffold435_3, whole genome shotgun sequence.